UACCCGCAGCUCAAGUGGUGGUCAUUAUUAUUGGGCCUAAAGCGUCCGUAGCUGGCUUGUUAGAUGCCUGGGUAAAUCGAUGCGCUUAACGCAUCGAAUUCCGGGUAGACCGGCAAGCUCGAGACCGGGAGAGGCGUGAGCUACUCAAGGGGUAGGGGUAAAAUCCUGUAAUCCUUUGGGGAGGACCAGUGGCGAAGGCGGCCAGCUGGGCCGUCCCUGACGCUGAGGCGCGAAGGCGUGGGGAGCGAACGGG
rnacentral:rRNA from 1 species